UCUUGCCUGGAAAAUUCCAUGGACAGAGAAUCCUGAUGGGCUACAGUCCAUGGGAUUACAGCGAGUCAGACACAACUGAGUGACUAACACUUUUACUGUGUUGUUUUUUUUUUUACAAGAAGGGGCAGCUCCUAGGGCUGACAAGCCAGCUUGUCACAUCCUAUUUUGGCAGAAGUUGUGAGACUCUGGGCAAGACACAGGACGCUGUGACCCACAGCGAGAGCAGUGCGAGAGCUUAUCCUUCUUUUGUGGUGGGUCCCCCUCCCCCUCCCCAAGGCCCUCCUGAGGAUGCCUUCAUCGGCAGAGGGUAGCUCUACAGAAGCAGAACCCUAGCUUAUGCUUCCUAAACAGGGAAAAAUGAGAAGUCACUGCAUUUAGAGGAAGCCAAGGCGAGCCUGCUGUUUCCUGGACAGGGAUGCUAGCACCUCCCUGGCAGCCGCCCACUGCAGACACGGCCCUGGGAAGCCCCUGGGUGAAGAGAAGGGACUCAAGUGCGGGGAACACUCAGCAGGCUCAGUGCCCUCGGGGCCUCGCCCUUCUCAACAGCAGAAUGUAAAGUAGGCAUGAAGCACGGAGACAGAAGGAAAAAGGCAUGAAAAACUAGUUUUGUUGAUGUGGUACUGUUUCCUUUGGCAUUGUUCUGUGUGCAAUGUGUACACGUGUGUGUAAGCAUAUUUGUGUAUGAGGACUGGGCAACAACCACUGUCUGUCUGUUUUCAGAAAACCAAGCAAGAGAGCUCUUCCUGCCAGUGCCACCUCUGCCUCUCUCCUCUGCCAGAGGUGCACGCGGGUUGUCACUGUCCUCGCUGCCGGCCACCGGGAGGACACGUCAUCUCCCCACGUCCCCUGUGGUGCACAGCUCUGCACCUCCCGGAGGCACCCUGUGAGCGCCAGCUCUGAGCUGCCCCCGCCCCCACCCGAGGCAUCAUUCAUCAUGGACAGGAUGGCUUUGUUUCUUCUUUUCCAACUCUUGUCCACUUUCGCCUUCUUGUGUUUUUAGGGAAACUUCCUAUACCAUAGCUGGACAUCCUUAUCUUAUUACUAAUCUUAAUGUGAAUGCUUUUAAGGAUUCACCAUUAGUAUGAAGAAUCAUUGAUGAAUUUCUCCAUUAUUUGAAUAAAUGUAUUAAGGCUGGAGUUAUGGUUUGAGGAAGAUCAGAGGGAGAAUGCCAUUUUCAUCUCAUCAUGUCGAGGGUACCUACUCAGAAUAGGAUUUAUGAUGACUAGGAUUUAUUGAACCUGAUCUGAUCAGCUGGCUGAAGCCAUUGUAUUCUGUAUGCCACCUUUCCAUGGUGUGUGCUUUGGAAAGAAGUCACCUUGUGGAUGACACACUUAAAGAGUGGGAGUCAUGCUCCCCCUUUGCUAGCCUAGGGGGCUAAAGUAUGUAAAUACACUUUGGCCACUGAGAACCGUUUUGGAAACAAGUUCUGGUCACUGGGUCUGCUGGUUGCUCUUUCAGGCUCCCUCAGCUGGCAGAGUAAAGAAAUGUGUGUGCAGCCAACGUAUGUGUAUGUCUGUAAGUAUUUCUCUGUGCAGCCAUCUGUAUCCACAUUAAGUUCUUACCAUCGUCUACUCUGUCCCUUCCAUGUGGAUUAUUCUAGCUGCCCCCUCUUUCUUAUCUGUAAAUUCUCUGAUAAGAAAACUGGCUCCAACCAUCCACCAUCCAUCUGCUCAAUUGUUCAGGCCCAGCAAACAUGUAUAAUGGCAUCAGAACUGUGAAAUUGGUGCACCGCGGGAACUGACUUUAUCAACUGAAGUGCUGACUUGUGUGAACUGGUGCACCAUGGGAACUGACUUUAUCCCCUGAAGUACUGUCCUGUGUGAACCGGUGGACUGUGGGAACCGACUUUAUCCACUGAAUGGCUGUCCUGUGUGCACCAGUACAUCGUGGGAACUGACUUUAUCCCCUGAAGCGCUGUCCUGUGUGAACCGGUGCACCGUCGGAACAGACUUGAUCCACUGAAGGGCUGUCCUGUGUGCACCGGUGCAUCGUGGGAACUGACUUUAUCCACUGAAGGGCUGUCCUGUGUGAACCGGUGCACCGUGGUAACCGACUUUAUCCCCUGAAGCGCUGUCCUGUGUGAACCGGUACACCGUGGGAACUGACUUUAUCCCCUGAAGCGCUGUCCUGUGUGAACCGGUACACCGUGGGAACUGACUUUAUCCCCUGAAACGCUGUCCUGUGUGAACAGGUGCACCAUGGGAACUGACUUUCUCCACUGAAGGGCUGUCCUGUGUGAACCGGUACACCGUGGGAACUGACUUUGUCCCUGAAGCGCUGUCCUGUGUGCACUGGUGCAUCAUGGGAACUGACUUUAUCCACUGAAGGGCUGUCCUGUGUGAACAAGUGCACCAUGGAAACCCAACUUUAUCCACUGAAGGGCUGUCCUGUGUGAACCGGUACACCAUGGGAACUGACUUUGUCCCUGAAGCGCUGUCCUAUGUGCACUGGUGCAUCAUGGGAACUGACUUUAUCCACUGAAGGGCUGUCCUGUGUGCACCAGUACAUCGUGGUAACCAACUGUGUCCCCUGAAGUGCUGUCCUGUAUGAACUGGUGCACAGUAGGAACCGACUUUGUCCCCUGAAGCGCUGUCCUGUGUGCACCGGUGCAUCGUGGGAACUGACUUUAUCCACCGAAGGGCUGUCCUGUGUGAACCGGUGCACCGUGGUAACCAACUUUAUCCC